GGGGGCGUAAUGGGUUCGACGGGGGUAGUUGAGGUUCAAGGAGCAUGCCGAGGUCUGCUACCUCGUUAAACAGGCAGAGACACGAUAAGUGCCGACGAUUAUAAUUACGCAUUAGCCGCCUAAUACCCGGCUACGUCCUGCAUAGACCCGCCUAUCGGUGUAUGUGAGGGCGUCAAAUGAAGGUAGGAAAACUCUCUGGUCAGACCCCUGGGCCAUAGAGGAACUCAAGAGGGGUUGGGACAUGGGACGCCGGUCUGUGAGCAUAACAUGUCCGAGACAUUAAAUCUCAGACUAAGCAUGUAGCCGUCUUGUUCCAAAUGCCUUCGGACGCGGGUUCGAUUCCCGCCGCCUCCACCA
rnacentral:tmRNA from 1 species